UACGUAGGGUGCGAGCGUUAAUCGGAAUUACUGGGCGUAAAGUGUGCGCAGGCGGCAGAGCAAGUCGAGUGUGAAAGCCCCGGGCUUAACUUGGGAAUUGCGCUCGAAACUACUUUGCUGGAGUGUGGCAGAGGAAGGUGGAAUUCCACGUGUAGCGGUGAAAUGCGUAGAGAUGUGGAGGAACACCAAUGGCGAAGGCAGCCAUUCUGGGCCAACACUGACGCUCAUGCACGAAAGCGUGGGGAGCAAACAGG
rnacentral:rRNA from 1 species